GACGUAGGGUCCAAGCGUUAUCCGGAUUUACUGGGCGUAAAGCGCGCGUAGGCGGUCUGUUAAGUGCACAAGUGAAAGCUCCGGGCUCAACUCGGAAAUUGCUUUGCAUACUGGCAGGCUGGAGGGACGCAGAGGUCUGUGGAAUUCCUGGUGUAACGGUGAAAUGUGUUGAUAUCAGGAGGAACACCAAUGGCGAAGGCAGCAGACUGGGCGUUUCCUGACGCUGAGGCGCGAAAGCGUGGGUAGCAAACAGG
rnacentral:rRNA from 1 species